GGUGAGGAGAUGAGGUGUUGGCUCUACAGGAAGCACUGCUGGUCUCUGUGCAAAGGAAUUUUGGACUCAAGGCCUACCGUGUAAAAAAGAUGCUGAAAAUGAGAUUACCAGAAUGUGAUCUGGCUUUUGUGAUUGGAGUUUGCAGAAGAGGAUACUCUACACUAUGGAAGUAUUAGCAGAAAGCUAUCUAGAAUGCCUGGACUUGCCCCCAGUCCCACUUUGCCACAGGAACCUGAGCAUACAGCAGCUCCUCUCCACUGUGCUUGCACAAUCUCUGCAGGGAUCUCUCCAAUGGAUUUGGCCAACCCGUGUUCCUUAGUUUUUCACUGAAGCAGACUUAAGAGAGAAGAAUCCCUAUGAGCAGAGGAGGCUACGAGGUGACAACACGUGGUCCUGGCCUCGUGGGCUUACCUAGCGAGCAUCUCUUCCACAAAACACCAAAUAAACUCUGAUGCUGCCCUGGAAAACCCAGUAAGUGAAAUGGUGUUCUGCAUGAGCAAUCUGGCACUGUGUGACCUAGGGGGAAUAACAGCAUUUAGAAGAGUCAAAGCAACCCAAAGAGGGAUCCAGCGUGACCCUGAAUUCAAGCUAAUAAGUAAGUCCCUUCUACCCCUGCCAACAGUUACAAGGGCUGGGUAGAGCACUGCAGAGAGCCUCCAAGGCCCUCUGUGUAAAGGAAUCUGCCUAUUGCAUCGUUUUCCCAUAUCUAGUCCUAGUAAUAUAGUGUUAGCACAGCAAAACUGAGCCUUUGAGACACCAGAGUUCAGCUCCCUGUUUCUAAUUGUGCCUACCCCUUAGCCUUAGAAUUCUGCAGAACCCAAGCUCUGCUCCUGCUCAGGGUGAACUGUAGUCACAAUGUUAAUCAGACUGGGCAGCAGGCUGCCACAAGCCAGGCUCCAUUUUCACAGAUCGCGUAUUUCUGACAUCUGGCAUGGGAAUGAGCCCAUGCCUAUGGAAAUGCAUAUGAACCCACAAUUAGCUUUUUCAGUUUUCUGAUGAAUCAAUUAAAUAGAGGGUCAUAAAUCUUAAAAAAAGAGGAAAAAGAUUUGAUCAUACUAAAGAACAACAAUAAAUUCUGCUUAGCCUUUUUUCCCUGUGGAUUUUUUUUUUCUCAUGAAGAUAGCGAAGUUGUAGAGAUUUAGUGAAACCUAGUCACUUACCUAGGAAAUAAUGAUGAGCAAUAGUUCUGUAAUGUUGUAACUAACAUUCACAGUGCUGGGCAGCAAGGUUGUCCUGGUACUCACAGUGCUAGGCCUUGCCUUGCUUUGCCUGUCCCCAGCUGCCCCUUCAUGGCUAUGAGUUGUACUGCUUUGCUUGGGUCUCUGAAGAGCAAGAAGGGUGGUUUGUGACAUCUGUCUCCUCUUUGGCAAGGCAGAGGGGAAAGCUGGAGCUAGGUCAUCUCCUCCCUUCUCUCAGAUCAGCACAAGGGUCUGCACAGUAGUAGUCGGUACGUGCAGAGAAACCAUACCAGAACUGCAAUAAGCAUAAGCUCAAAACAGAGGGAUAGAGGCAGAGAAAGAGGCUGUUGUUCCUGAUUGCUACCCUGCUUGAAAGUCCAGGAAAAAACGAAAUGUCAUAGUAGUGAGCCAUACGCACCACUUCUAAGACAACCAGGCUUUGUGAGACAGAUUCUGUCCACCUAGGCCUUCAGGAAAGUUGUCACCCAAAGGAGAUGUAACCUCUCUUUGUCUCUCAGCCAACUCCUCUGGGUAAUAUAGAUCAGUAUCACACCAUAGAAGUCAAUAUUACAGAUUCCAGCUGGCAAAAUUGGCUUCAAUCCACUGAGCCAAUGAAUCAGAUGCUCAGCAGGUGAUAUACAGUGUUUGACUUGCCUAAGCAAUCAUUAUGUCCAGAGACUCAGAGAUCUAUUCUGGAGUCUAAGCAAACAAGAUAAAAUGCGUUCCUCUCCUGGCCUCAUAUAUAUCAUUUCACAUUUAAAAGAUUUCUUGAGUUGGAGGCAUCAGCAUUACUUCCAGCAGCUCCUGGUUUUGAGAAUUGAGAGUACUUAAUAGUUGUGUUUAUUUGUGCUGAUUUUUUUUUCUUUUUCCAGCUGCCUCUAUUAGCACAAAGGCUAAAUGAAAAUUCAAAUCACUAUGGUGAUUAGCUGCAAAUAUUGCUUUUUGCAAUGGGUUUGGUGUCCCAAGCAAACAAAGGACCAUUCUUCAAUGUGCUGCAGACAGCACAAUUGUGUACCUCACAGAUGUCUCAGUGCAAUCAGCUUCUCAUUACUGGACUAAACAGAACUUUUGAUGGAGCUGAGAGAAUCGAGUGACCUGGGGCAGGAAGCAAAGGUUCCCUUACCUGGCACACUGUAUUUCCUCCCCCGCAGGCAUAUUGAUUACUGAGAGGCUGUUUGCUGAAUGAGGUCCUACUCAGCAUGAAUGUAGCUGGAACAAGUCCUAUGUAAUUAAAGAAAGGAAAGGAAUAAAUGAUCUGUCUAACACCUUACAGUUAUUAUCCCAUAACUUUGUAAUCCAUAGCCAGCUUCUCUUUCUGCAGAUUUUGUCUGCAGAGAUUGGGGAAAAAAGAAACAACAAACCCACAGCUGAAAGCUUACAAAUUAUGCAUGGAAGGAAGGAGUUGUUUCUCGAGCUAAGGAGAUGCUGAGAAAACAAAGCUGUCUCCUGAAGCGGGAGUUAAGGCAUCUUGCAUCAAAUGUGAAACCUACCUCUAAGAUCAUUGCAGCUAAGGUAACCACAAGCUCCUCAAGAACUGAAGAAAGCCUGUAGAAGAGGGAAGAAUCAAAAUCUGUGGUGCUUCAGCACAUUUUUAUGUGCUUGCUAGGCUGGGGAUGGAAUUUUUAAGGCAUGGAGUUGGAAUACUGGAAGAAGAAAGAAAACCUGUAUGGAGAACAGGAAUAUUGCACAGCUUCAAGAUAAAUCAACAUAACUAACGGCAAAUGAUACAGCAAGGAAGUACUUUAAAAAGCCAGAGCAGUAGUAGAGAGAUUUCUAAAUACAUAGCCUACAUGGACUGCAAACACCACGGCUGAAGAUAAACUUCUACUCUCACAUGCCAUGAGUAGCCAGAGAACAAAGUGAUAGAGAUGAAAGGAGGUACAGCAAGACAAACACACGCAAGUACACCACAGGACCUGCUGGUAAUAUGCCAUGCCACUAAAAGCCUAACCAAAGUAAGAGAAGCAAGGAAGACAGAACUUUUCACAGGGAUUCCCAGCUGCUCCCAAGAAGAGGACUUGGAGCAGGUGUCUGCUCCCAGAGAAAUAAUCAAGAAAGGUACAGCCUGUUCCCAAUGUUGUCAGUAGAGUGCUGUGUUGCUCUGCAUACUGUUACUUCUUCCUUGCCUCAGUUUCCCCACUAGCUGUCUGUACUGCCUGUGUAAAGAAGAACAUGAUCAAAUCAAUAAAUAAAGCAUGGGAACGAUCAGACGGGACACAGAACAGGACAGCAGGCCAGUCUCUGCCUGAGACUGGGCCCAGAGGAGCGUUACAAGGGUCCCACUCAUACUAAAAUUUCUUAAUAUUAAUGCAAAUUCUGGCAACAGAACAGAUGCUUCGAUAUCUGAGAAAAUGGUGGCUACAAUAAAGACCUUCUCAAUGCUUCAAGGUCUAAGCAGUCUCCCAAACACCUUUUUCUAACACCUCCUUGUCUCAUAGCUCCAAACAGUAAGGAAGUUAAAAAGAAAAGGCAUGAUCAAUAAUUAAAAGGCUGGAAAUGAACAAAUGGAAUGAAUUGCUCCAAGAAGGCUGAGGAGAGAAACCUGAGAAAUACCAUCUAUCUUUAUCUCUCAAUCUGGCAGAGGAUUUACAAACCAUCUUUAAAAAGAGAGAUUGUGAGGUUACAUAUUCACUGGUGCAGGUUUCUGAGCGAUGCCAGGUUUUUUAUUUUAUUUUUUUCUUUUUACAUUAUGCUUCCUCAUUUUAUGACACUUCUCAGACUUGAAUCAUUCACAGCAGAUGGCUCCAUGAAUACUGGAUAUUUCCAUAAAUAAUGACAGACUUCCCUUCAGUCUCCCCACCCUCCCUCCACUCCACAUGCCCAAAUCUUUUGUGUGCUAGCUGCAGAUACACAUUCAAAUUCUGGUCAGCAAACAAGCCUAUCUAGUGCCAUUGUCAUUCCUGCAAGCCCAGUAGAAUCAGUAAAACAAUGAACUUAUCAUCCCAUUUGAUUCAAGAGCGUUUUUUCCAAGCAAUCCUUAGAUAGAAGGGAAAUGCUACGCAGCAUUUAAUGAAAUUGAAUACUUUUAACACCGGAGAGCCACUGCGGAAAGUAUCCGAGUGCUCUGCAGCAGUGGGAAAUGCCGGAGAUAAGUGGUGAGCCAGCUUAGCCGCACAGUGAUGGCAGGGCAACGCUCAGGUCCUCUGAACACCUUUACCACCAAGGAAGCUCUGAGGUUACAGCGGGUGAGGAACUGGCCCCAAAUUUAGCUAUGGAGAUCCUGCUUGCACAAGAGGGACUUGCUAACAAAACAAGGAGCCUCACAAAAAGAAAGGGGUGCGAAAAUCCUCGUUAUUGGGUCAUUGUAUUUGUCUGAUCUACCUGCAAUAAAUGACACGUGAUGCUACUGUCAGAGAUAAAAGCAAGGUGGCUUUUAAUUCAGGACAUUAAGAGAAAAUAUUAAAAACUUCUUAUCAGAGCAAUAAUUUAUGGCUAACUUCAAAUGCUCAUAAUCUGCCAUCUACAUACAUUUCUAUCAAAUGACCCUGUAAAUAAUUAAUAGAUCUAAUUCUGUCAGUGUUGCCAGGGCAGGUUUCCCUGCAGAAGGUUAAUGCAAUGAUUUAAUUCUUUAUUUAUGUGAUUAGCAGCCCCAAUCAGGCUGUUUUAAUGAGGUCGCAGGCAGCGGAUUAUCUCAGGCGACUUGCCUGGCAGGAGCCCCAAGCGCCCCGUUCUUGUGGUACGUUGUACACUUUCUGUCCAGCUGCCCCAGGGGAAACCAUUGGCAGCUACUGGGGGCAGAGCUGGGGUCCCAGCAGGGCAGCAAAUGCUAUUUACCCCUUUCCUAGUUGCCCGACUCAUAGCUGCACAGUCCACAUAAAACAUAGAAACACAGGGAUUCUUAAAGCACAUCGGCCUCAAGAUUCAUCUAUGCCUGUCCAGAAAAGGAAAGACAGGAAUAUCACUAUGAGACAUGGGAUAAUAUGUCACUAGCAGUGCCUUAGGCUCAUCUGUAAAACCUAGCGCUUGGAUUAAAUCCAAAUGGUGAUCCUCCCUAUGUCAACAAGAGAACCUGACAGUUAUUAGAUUCUUCAUGCUCAACACCCAGGAAGGAGCUGAUACAAGUGCUGCUUUCUCAAGAUCUCAUAAAUCUGCAUUUCUGUGCACACAAAAGCUUGACACACAUGAAGAAAACAGAACCAGAGUGCAUUUCUUUCAUUCCUUCAGUCAUUUUUCUUUCAGUUUUUCACCAAACCCAGUCCAACAGAGAAAAGAGAUCUCUCUGCAGGCUGUGUAUGGAAUUAGGGCCCCAGCUGCAAUAUUCAGAUUCAUUGGGCCACCUGGGAUCACUGUAACCCCACACCUAGAAAGUGGCCUCCCUCCUCGCGGUGAGGGCCAUCAAGCAACCCUCUGCUGUGGGCCACGCUGACGUCAGUGGAUUUGAUAGCAGUAAGGGAGCACCAGGAAGGCCCCACCUGCCUGGCUGGGAAAUGGCAAAGUCUUGGUGUUCCUUCACUCACAGCCUCCAUUCACACUGGCUGAGAAGGGCAGAGGAAACAACUUGGAUGUUUCUUCUCCUACCUCUACUUCUCCUCUGUCAAUGGCAUCUUUCCAUCUCUCUACUGACCUGCUUUUUGUUUGUUUUUCUGCCUUUUUUUUUUUUUUUUUAGUUAUUGAAUCUUGUUUCCCCUGCCAAACUGCCUACAGCUCCUGUUCUGUUUAUUAUACUCAGCACAGAAAGGAAUGAAAAGGAACGAAUCUUGGAAGAGAAACAAAAGCCUGCAAUAAGCUGUAUUCUCAAUUACCCUGUAGCAUGCAGACUGAGAACAAGAGGAGUUGCCACGCUGACACAUACAGCUGAAAAUUGGGUUUGCUAGGUACAGCGAUGUUAAAGGCAGCCUUUCAAUGCCUCCCUCCCAGGCUGCCACUGUGCUGUGCCCUUCGCGAGCACUCCACCACUUAUUGGCACAGGUAUAAAAGCAUCCCUUGGACAAGAGACAGCUCAGGUAAGCUCUGGAGAAAUCAAAGCAGGAAAAGCGGAUAAAAGGCAGCAGUAUUUCUGUCACUACCUCACAGACGGGUUUAUUCUCUCUAACAAUUUCCACCUUGGCAAGCUCCAGGUCACUAAAACAACAUCCAGAACAAUGAAUUAAAGAUACUGAAAAAGAUGAUACAGAAUGCAGCAUUCUCACAGAAAUGUAGAAACUCCCCACACUUCCAUGCAUUGGUAAACCUCAGGCCUCCAUAAGGCUGAGCACUUUGUGCCUCGCUCACACUUGCUGAUUUUCAGUGCUAAAUCGUGCUGAAAACAAACAGAUUGUCAGAUCCAGGAAUCUCUGCAGGGCACAGUCCAGCGAUGUGCUUCAGUUCAGGGAUAACUGAACAGGGCUGGAUAACGCACAGACGCUCUCUCUGUGCGCAACAGUUCCCCUGUUACCCUGACAGGGAACAUCAGCCAUUUGUUUCAACGCAUUACUGCUUUCUAUCCUUUUUAGAACCAACUAUGGAGUUAACUGUGAUAUUUUCCCUGAGUGGGCAAACAAAGGAGGGAAGCGCAGAGCCCACCAGCACUGCCUGCUCAGGAUGUGCACUACUGCAGGACUCUGCAGAGAGUCUCCUAAAGACUGUACUGAGGCGGUGUCUCAUACAGAGCCACAUCCUCCUUAUUCUCGUGCAGCAGCAGCUGCAGGGACCUGGGGGAGUAGGAGGGAGGGAGCAGAGCAGCCAGGCAGCGCUCACACAUCCUCACCUGCAGCAGUGGGCAGUGAGCCAGCCUGCCCUCUGGGGGAAGGGGGAAGCGGAGGCAGGUGAUACCUGCUCAGUGUGCGGAGGAUGGCUUUCUGGGGGUUGGCUUUCCUUUCUUUUUUUUCAGGAAGCGUUUAUCUUCUGACAGUUUUCUGUGUGUUUUUUUUUUUUUUUCUAAUUUACAAACAAAACCCCGCUGCAGAUCUCUGAUUUUUUAUUUUUUUUUAUUUUUUGCUAGAAGAACUGAUCCAGAAAACAGAGACUGAUGAGACCCCCUUGUCCCAUAUCCGCCGCUAAUUCCUAGGGCACAUUCCCCUGCCCUGCCACAUUUUCACGAGCAUUGUUUGCAAAGCGCUGUUCUCUCUGAUAACGCGUCUUAAGACAUCUGUCUGUAUCCCUGAAGUUUCCCUCUUGGAUUUUGCAUCCUGAUUCUCUUAAAAACACAUCCUCAUCUGCAGGCAGCUUCAGCUGCCCAUUAUUUUCAUUUCUGGAUCUCUUUUCAGUAACGUGCUCAUUUCUGUGCCUGUCUUCAUAGAGACGUAUCUCUGCGGAGCAGUGUACUCUGAAGGACAAAGCAAACAACUCCUGGAUCCCCUCCCAGGCUAACCGGAGGAGAGGGGCAGGAGAGGAGCUGUUUUGUAUUUGGGAGAAACCCUAAUUCUCAUGGGACUCUGGAUCCUAUGGCACUACAGACAUUUCUCAGAGGAGCCACCACAAAAAAGAAACACCCCAGAAAGCUCGGUGUAUCCGUACUGGGCACACAGUCACACCUGAUGCUCACACAACGCUGGGCAGCCAAGAGCCAAGGGCUCAAAUUCAGUGGUGCACAGGGCUGAGGUUGGCAGAGGCAGAGCAACAAGCACCUUUGGCCCAAUGUAUGGGAACUGUUGAAUCAGGGCCUGAACCUCUGAUUGACCACCUGAGGCAAGCACUGAAUCAGCAGCAGGAGCACAGGUGAAGGCAAUUCAGCUGUGUGGCUGGAAGGGGUGGAGCCAGGCUGCACCUCUCCUAGAUCCCAUUUAAGGGCUGACUGCCAUUGGGGAAGGAUCUCUUUCUGGAGAUUGCUUCUUGUGGAGUUUCUCGUGAGCCUGCAACACUGGUGAGCGCUUUCAUUUAUCUAUGAUUAUCUUUUCCAAUGCGAUAAUCUUACUAAGCCUAACUUCUCUGUAUACGUAUUGUUCAUCCAAUACUUCACAACAUCUGUAUUCUUAUUGACCUUACACCCAACAGAUUAAAAGCGUACGCCAUUACAGCAUGGACAGCAACACUGUGCUGUUCCAUGAUACAGGGAGAAGGUGGGUAAUGCCAAGGCAGGACUCUGGUCACCACAGCCCAAAGGACAGGGCUAAGAUCAGAAGGAAGCCCUCCAGGCACCUUCUCACCUUCCAGCGUGUCAUCCUGAUGGGAUCUCUGUGCAAUCCCUCCUUCCACUUGGCACAAUACACUUUCAUUCACUGUAUCCCCGAUCCCCAGAUAGGGGCUAAGAAGGAGAAAAAAAGGCUUACACUAAAUGUUACUCCCCUAUUUUCUUCUGUACCAAUCUGAUUUACCCAUCUUGAGGGCAGUAGUGAUGGCUUGAUGUCUUAGGGGAUGCACAACUCGCAUACUUGCCAUAAAUAAUGGAUAGCACAUUACACAGUACUUAAUAUUUAAGUACCUGAAGAAGUAAAAGAAAAUGGAAACAAAAUAUCAUUAAGGGACUGACCUGUUUAAGUACUGCAGAAGGUAAAGAAUAUUUCAACUACAUUCUACUUCCCAUUUGGCCACAGGUCCCAAAUGAAAACCCUGAGAUGUUUCUCCAGCCACAUGUAACACUACUACUUACAACAAAAGAGCUGCCUUGCCCAGCACCCUGCAUCUCACUGUACAGCGAGCAGCACAGAUGCCUGUAAGACUGCAUAAAACCAGGACGAGCUCUUGGAAGAAUAUUCUUCCAGGCUAAUUUUUACCUUGGACACUUACCAGACCUAAGGGCAACGUCUUUAUAUUUUAAUCAUUCUUGAUGUAUUCUUUUUCAUCCUCAAAUUUUCAGAGUGCUUUCUGAAGCUGUGUAACUCCAGCUAUAACAGUAACAUGCCACACAACUUCUUUGUGACAAGGAAGUCCUCAGCCUUGGCAUAUUCAACUUUGUUCCUACCAGAUUCAACAUGAUUCCUACCAGAUCUUUGCCUGCAAAACAGUCUGCAGAAGAUUUUUUUUUUUUCCAGUCACUUUCUCCAGGCUAUGUAUGGCUUUAUAGACUUGUAUCAAAUCUCUUCCUUUCAGCUAUCUCUUUUCCAGGGUGAGAAGUCCUAAUCUACUCAGGUGUCCCUGUCACAAAAGCCACUGUGCAUCCAGAUUGCUUUGGUCAUCCUGCUCCAUGUCUCCUCCACAUCUGAUGUGUUUCCUGAGGGGCAGAGGGCAGGGCACCAUGUGCUGGUCACAAUGGAUGUACUGUUUGGACUUAGAAUAUAUAUGGCAUAAUUGUGGUUUCAACUUAGACUAUUCUGUUCCCAGCAUUCAGUUUGAGUUUUUGACCACUGCUGAAAGGCCUGAACUGACAGUCGCUUCAACUUAUCUACCAAUAUCAAAAAGAAAACACUGCUCCUGAGUGAUAAAAUAUUGGGACAGUUUCUUCCUAUUUACUACCCUUUAUGUUUAUCUGUACUGAAUUUCAUCUGCACUUCCUUUACCUGGCUCUCAAUUUGAGAUGAUCAUUUUGCAACUGACUCAUUUCCCUGAAAAAACUGAGCUCAUCAUCCAACUUCACCAUCUGACUGCAGCCCUGCUUUUCCACCUUGUUUGUGAGCCUAUCAAACACCACAGCCUGAGCACAGGUCCCUACAGAACCAGCCUUGUGACUUUCCUCCACUGCGGAAGCUUCAACCUUUUAUUUCUACCUCCUACUUCCCAAUUUUAAUUGAUUUUUCUGAAGCACCUCACUGUCACUGCGUGGCACCUGCAUUCCUUAACAGCUCUUUGAUGCUUUUUGUAAAUCCAAGUAAGUUAUAUCACCAGUCUGGCCCAUCCACUCCUCCAGUCCUACCCGACAGAUUACUAUAUCAUGAUUUUCAUUGCAAACCCCCGGAUGGCUCUUUGUCACUGAUAUUUAUUGAUAUUCCCACUCAUUCCAUUAUUAUUACAGCUUUUGCCAAUGUAUUUAUUGCAUAUACUAGGUUUACCACCGUGGAGCUCUGGGAACCUCACAGGAAACACUUAAAAUAGGAUGUUAAACUGGUGUUUGUCUUCCGGUACCGGGACAUAAGCCAGGAGUGCACACUGGAGGUAACACUUGCCCUAUUUCAUCAAUUUGCCAGGAAAGAUAUCUCACCGUGGGAGCCCCCCACGAUCCUUCACAGCAAACAUUAUGAAACAUCUCAUUUUUCUAAAUACUCCUUCAGCACAGUUACUGCUUACUGGUCCUACAGACUCCAGCAAGCUUCCUGCUUCUCAUGUGUUUGAAACAGGAUUUAACUGGGAUUUUUUGGUGCUUUCUGUAAGUUUCUCCAACUCUUUCAGUCUUUCUUAUUGCUUUUUCCCUAUCAUCUGCCUGGGUUUACAAGCCUUUCUACUUUUCUCAUUUGUCAGACCCAAGCUAUCUGAAGGAUGCAUUCUUGCUUUUAGUAGUAUACUUUUCCUGCUGUUUAGCCAUCUUAGUUUCCUUCUUCUUCUUUUUAUUUUUUUUUUUUCUGCAAGGUGAUCUCUUUUGAUAAAUAGGAUGCAUUUGCUCUAGGAUUCCAUCACCAUCUUUAAACUGUCUCUGUGUUGCAUGGUAAGACUUAACUGGUUUUCUAGUUUCUCCAUUUUAAAAUCAAAUGUGACAGCAGUGGAAGUUUUAGCUUUCCUUGUAUCUGCAGGAAUGCUUAAUCUACCUGCAGUAUGGUCCCUGCAGCAGAGUGGACCUUUGAUAAAGAUGUUAUAAACUAAGCACAGUCCACUGGCCUGGCUCUUAGAAGUUGCUCUUGUGGCUUCCUUGACUACUGCUCCAUGAAGUGGUCACUGAUGGUCUCAAAGAACAGACUUGACAUUGGGCCUUGAUAUGACAUUUACCCAAGCUACAAAGGGGUCAUGGAAAUUGUUUAUCUUUAUUGUGUUUGCUGCCCUCAGAAGCACUCUGAUCUCUCUCAAAAUGUCACAGUCACUGUCUCACUGUUACCAUCCUGGUCAGUCAAUGGAUAAUUUAGUCCUAAUGCAGUAUUUUUCCUAUUUAAGUGUAAAACUUGAGUUGCUGACAGGGCUAUUCUACUGAUCUGAUUUGAUUUCAAACUUUAACACUAAGCACCAUCUACCACCGCUGCUUGACUCCAUCUUUCAUGAACAUUGUGUUGUUUGGUCUUACAGUGCCCCAUGACCUCCCUCUCCCCUCCUGGAAUCUUUCAGUAGGUCUGGUAAGUCAAUACCGUGGCUUAUAGCUAUUUCUUAGGCAUUUAUACAGAAUCACAUGACCUGCUGCUCUGCUUUCUGACUUCUCUGCAGCUUGCUUAAAUGGCACGUGGCUGGCACCAACUGUUGAUUUUCUUUCUUGAUUGAUUGCUGCUGAUUCCUGCCCUGACCUUGAAUUUAAAGACACAGAAUUGUUAUUGCAAGUGUUUCAUCUCAGAAGACACCUGCCUUCUGUAAGAAACUAGUUUUGCCUUAGAUCCUUAUGCUAGCUGAGAUUUUUUUGUCUGUAGGCUCAGUCCAGUUUUGAGAAAGCCUGUGCAAUAAUUGCUGGUGACAUCAGAGAAGCUGCAUCUUGCACGUGCCUUACUAGUACAGAUCACAUCUUAAAAUCUUCACUCAUGUCCUCUUCAACAAGAAGAGGUAAAGAGCAGGGCUCUUACUAAACCACUCUGUUCCUAUUGAAGAUCUCUAUAUACUCAUACAUUCUCAGGUGCCCACGGAUAAUAAACUUGUAUCACACAGCCAGAUCUAAAAGAGCACUGUGAAGUGACAUUUGGGCUGUGAAGCCUUAAUUUAGGCACCACAAUGAUUAGAGUGUUUUAAUAUUAUAAUAACUGAUAAAUAGACUACGUGUCAGACAUUUCAUUCCCUUUUAAUCAAAACUCCUAGUCUGCUAAAUUAAUCACCCCCUUGGGGUACAGUAGCAGAUUUCCAAUUUAGUCAUAGAGCAUCAUUAAUAAUGAAAAGUUCUGGAGGCAAAUUCUUCUAUUCAUGUUCUUUUGUAUGAUCCAGCAGGUUUAAAGAGACAAGACGGAGAACACGGAAGACAUCAACACCUUCCAGCAAUCCAAAUAAAUAAACAUCAUUUUUGAUGUCAGUCCUUUAAUGGCUGUCCUCCUCCUUGAAUAUUAAGAAUAUCAUCACAGAACCUAGAAAGCCAGCCAGAAGAGUUGUGAUUUUUACUAAAUGGUAUUAACAAAACCAAAGCUAAAAAAGCAUGAGAAAUGGAGAGUAAUGCUGCAUUUUGUAUAGAUCUUCUAUUGUGGCGCUGCACGUUUGGUUUCAUUAAACUGUCUAAUUUCAGAAUAUAAGUGUUUCUGAACAAACUUUCUUUACCCAGUAAACUUUCAUUUUUUUCUUCACUAAAGUAAUUCAAUAAGUAAACUCAGUAAGAUUGCAGGUGACACUAAGUUGGCAGGAAGUGUCAAUCUGCCUGGGAGUAGAAGGCACUUCAGAGGGAUCUGGACAGGCUGGGCUGAGGCCAAUGGGAUGAAGUCCAACAACACCAACAGCCAGGUACUGCAUUUUGGCCACGAGAACCCCAGGCACCGCUACAGCCUUGGGGCAGAGUGGCUAGAAGACUGUGUUGGAAGAAAUGGACCUGGGGGUGUUGGUCUGUGCUCAGCUGAAUGUGUGCCCAGGUGACCCUAAGGUUGAUGGCAUCCUGGCUUCUAUCAAAAAUAGUGUUGUCAGCAGGAGCAGGGAGGUGAUUAUCUCUCUGUACUCAGCUCUUUUCCUACCUUAAUGAUACUACAAUUCUAAAGUUUUUAGAAAAACAUCUUCUGUUCUGCUGAGUUUUAAACAUAUUUAUGUGUGAAGAAUAAACUUAUUCUCCACCCAGUAAUAAAUGUGCUUCAUUUUCUGCUCAAGAGGUCUCCAACUACAGAUACAAGUUCUUGACCUACCUGGUGAUGGUAGUGUUUGGGAAAAAUAAAUGGCUUCAAUAACACGAAGCAGCAACACUCAUUUUGCACUAUUGUAGGGAAGCAUGUUCCCUUUCCAUCUCCAUUUGAAUUUUUUUAUGCAGAAAGAAUGGCACGCUGCCUGAGCCAGUGAAACCUUUAAAGGACACAGGUCAGGCUACGUUUUUAUCUGUCCGUUUGCUUCUCCUUAUCUGCUCUGCUAUGUGCACAGGUACCUGGGAGUAAGUCGGAGUAGCUCUCCUUUGCCAUGUCCACCGUUCCCCACAUCUUUACCCUUUGUCACUUCUUCCAGAAUCAACACAGUGAAGGUGGUUUUAGGUAGCCACCAACUACCUUGGAUUUACAAGUUGAUAGUCUGCCAACACUCUGUUGUUUGUACUAUAUAUUGGGCUGUUAGAAUGCCAAAAAGUAACGCAGGUUCACCUCACACACAUGGAUGUCAACCAAAGUAAAUACAUUGCUCAUUCAGACAGACACAGCUACAAAUGUUAACACAGCAAGUUAUCUCCAUCUCUCUGCAUCUAAGCUGUCUGCAUUCAGAGAUCAGCUCAUCCUAAUGGUGAUCUCUGAUGAUCUCUUCUUAACGUUAUGCUCCGUGAGCAAUAGGCAGGCCUGUUCUCCCUAAGGAGGAGAGCUCCAGCUAGAAACAAAGACCUGAUUAGAGGAUUUCCUUCUGUUCCUGGAGCUUUGAGGAGUUUCUUUAGGCGCAAUGAAGCUAUCAAAUAAAACCCUCUGGCAAAUCACUCUGGUGUGCUGACAGCCCAUCUUGCUUCUGUCCCUCCUCCACUGGAAGAGCCAUAAAAGUCCAAGGCCAGAGACCGCUGCUGAACCAACAAGCAGGAAGGAUUUACAGCCAACAGUAACUCCUGACCUCAUCAAACUCCACUCUGGGCCAUUUAUCACUCCUCUGUUGGAAAGAAAAAGCAUUCAAAGUGGAGAGGUAUCAGGAGAGAAAGAAGGGAGGGAGACUGAAUCACAGUCACUUUACCUUCACUAAAAGGUACAGAAAACCUCCCAGCAACAAAGACAGGUGCCUAAAUGCCCUUGAACACCAGUGUCUGAGGAAAAAUCCCCAGUCAUUAAGUGAAAUAGAUUUUAAACAAAUGCUGAAAUUUAUCAAACAGCUGAGAACCUCGUCUCCAAAGCUCUACGAUCUCAUUGCCAUGGCAGUGUGAUAACCCACAGACACAGGUGGUGGAACUAUGGUGCUCCAGCAUCUGAGCAGCUAGCAAACAGCACAGUCAAGCAAUGUGUGCAGCUAGGGUGUUUCAGGGUGUGCAGAAAAUAGCUGAGUGUCUGCACUGGACUCACCACAGACUCUCUUGCUGGUGCAGUGAAAAAUUAUAAGGAUAACCAGUGAGAGAGUUGGACUGCGUCCUGUGAGAGACAGAACAGAAAGAUCUUAAAACAGGAGCUUGGGGGAACUUGAGUAUUCUGAUCAUCUGGGCCUUUUACUCAAACAAAUACUGCCCAGAGGAACGUUUCUUAGCAUCUGCCCCACCACCAAUGCACACCCUGGUUUCUCUUCUUCCACUCAGUAUUUUUGAAAAUCAUACACAGAGACAGAUAACAAAAGGUUCUCUCAGGGCAGUAGCAGAAGUCCCUGAAUACAGGGAGUAAGGAAGGAGAAUAAGGGCACAAUGUCUUCUUUUCUGCCUGUGCUUCUGAAUUUCAGGUCCUCCCAAGGAGGCAUCUGGGUGCCUCAGAAGCAAAGCAGUCGAUACUACUUCUGAAAAUCCUAGCUUUAUGUUUUAUCAAAGCAAUCUGAAGCCAAGAUGCACCUGCAUUUUGCCUGAAGGGAAUGGCACUGAGAAGAGGAUCACAGGAGCCUUAUCAGCCUUCUGAACCACACAGGUCUGCCUAAUUAAGACAGCUGGGGAAACAGCAGCCAUUUAUACAUCAGGAGAUAGAGAGCUGUUCUGCAUCUCAGCUGCCCUGUUCUCUUCAGAUCAGUCAUUUCUGGGGAACCAACAGCUGGUGAGAAGGUGGGAACCCCCGACAUUAGCUGUGGAAUCACAAGUUCUCAAAGGAUCCCAAAAGGUUGAGGGAAGGCAACACAAUUUCUGUUUCUAAACUGAAUCACUCAGUGCCGUAAGUGAAAUAAAGAUCAAUGCAAUGCUGAGAUGCCACAGCAAAAUCAUGUGUUGCAGCAACAGGCAAGAAACAUGAAGAUUACAGCAUGGAAUAAAGAGCAGUGUAAAAGAAAGACAAAAACAAGCCACCAAGAGCAAGGAGUACUUCCAAAAGCACUAACAGAAAGCUGCUGAUUACAGGAAAAAGGUAACUUAUUUAAGAACAUUAAAUGUCAAAGAGAUUUCUGACAUCUAUAUAUGGAAACAUUUACUAACCAGGCUCGAUGAUAUGUGCAGUACUCAAGGUACUGGAUACCUCUUCUGAUUAAGAUAAUAGGGUUUUUUGUAUAUAAAUAAUCCAAUGUUUAUGUUAAUAAGGUGAAAGCUCUUUCUAUGGACUUGCAGCCUAUGGAAACAUAGCACAUUUCUUGCUCUGCUAUUCCUGCUUAACUUAACAAAUUUACUUGACUUAAACUUUGGCUAUCCUUAUUCAUCAAGCUUCUACUUCCGAUUUCUGCUCAUUCCAUCCCUUAGUGAUACCAUAUGCUACUCUUACCUUAUCCUCAGCAUUACUUUUAAGUCUAACAAACAAUGAUGACUAAAUGCCCUACAAUAGCCAACACCUCAGUUGGUCCUGUGAAGUCAAAGAGCACACAUGAAUGGGACAAAAAAGCCUUGUUUUUCUGUGUAAAAAGAUUACUGGGGCUAUGGAAAGCAAGUAGAAACAAAAAAUCAGCCCUAAGCCUGAAAGCUGACCUUGGGAAAAGCAGUCUGUGCUUCUCAGCUGCUGACCCUUGCCUGUGGGUUGGGUAAGGCCACAUCCUCAGUGCCCAGCACAGCCCUGGGGCUGUGGAGGAGAACCCAGCACCAGGCAGGGGCUGAGGGGCACGGUGGGUAGAGCUGGGCUUCUUGAGAACCACUUAGAUUGUAAGGAAAAGUGAGACUGAGGCUACAGAGCUACAGCAUCCAGAAAACAUCAACAUUAACCAAAUUUUCUGGGGAAAGGAAAAAAAAAAACAAAAACCAAAACAUGACAAAAAAAAACCCCACACUUUCCCUGAAAUCUGUUAUUUAUUAAAAAAAAAGAUAUUUUCCAUCAGAAGCCAGCAUUGGCUGGCUGCUCAGUAAUUCUAGCACCAGACAAAUUACAACAUUCCUCACUACAGCUUUCCAACCCAGUAAUCCUACAAGGAACUGCACAAUCAGAAUUUUAAAUGCCCUGGGAUCUGAGUUAAUACCAGAUGGUAUCCAGCUAUAUUCAUCAUUAUAAUUUCCUAAUAUUAUAUUAACAUUUACUAGUUUAGCACUUGAAUCAUCUAGCACGACACUGCUAAAAUGUAUGUCCUGAACUCAGUUCUGUGCGGAACGGUUUUGACUCUCUCUCUCCUUGGCUGUCAUUUCUUUAAGUUUUUAAUAAUCCUGAUCUUCUAACAUUUUACGGCCUUAAGAAAAGCGCAGGCUUCUACAUAUAAUAUUAUUUUGUCUUUUCAGUUACAGUCACAGGAGUAGAUCAAUCUGUAAGUGCUUCUGCCUUUUUAAUGGCGUCUAGGUUUUUAAUAAUAUCAAGAUGAAAAUGUUACUUUCUUUUAAACUGAGUAAAACAUGGCGCAUGAAUAGACUGCGCACUUCUGCAUGGGCGAAUGCUCAGAGCCGCCAAUUUGCUUCUGCUGUUAUCCUUCCUGAUAUGCAAUAGAAAACAAUUUUGGAUAUCUCUUCUUAUCCAACUUCAGGCUGUUUUCUACUACAGAUGCUUUAAAUUAUACUUGGUUGUAAAGAUUUACAGUGAUUGUUCUUACAGGUUUUUUUUUGUUUGUUUAAGUCACAUAAGACCCUUUCAAACUUUGCUGGUGCACAUUUGGAAGAAUUCUACAUUUUAUUCAGUUUUGGCAAUAAAAAACAAAGCUGUUCAAAGCUUGAACAGCUAUAACCCAACCGCCACUGUCCCAAGGAAAGAGCCCUUUUCCAAAGCAGAAAAAUAAAACAAAAAUGCUUGCCAAGCAGCAUGUCUUGGCUUCCCAGUGACUAGCACAGUAUUUUGAACAGUGAAUCUGUUUCCCUUUCACUGCAGUAUGAAAUAAAUAACUUGCAGAUAAACAUCCCAUAUGACAGUUCCUGUGAGGGUAUCGGUUUGGCAAAGCUGUGAGCUGGUCCUGCCAGCCCCGACUGGAGCAUUAUAGGAUUUCUGUUCUCACUGGAAACACCACUGUUCCUCCUUCAAUCAUCCUUCUGCCUUUCUUUGCCUUCCUUUAUCCCCUGCACUAACCAAAGAGGUGCAGAAAUGGCAUCACUGGGGAAAAAACUGGCAUGCAAACAAUCUGUGGUCUCCGUCAGCCUGAUAACCCACUGGUCAGGUCUUCAGCUGGGACACAGUGCUGUCCUGUUAGGGAUGCUGGCCGACUUAGCGCAUGGUGUGCCUCCAUCAUGCUAUCUUAAAGGAGAUGCAUAAUUUAGAUGACACCAAGAUGACCUCAGGCUGGAGGAUACUCCCGUAGUCACUCACUCACUUUCUGAUGUCCAACAAAUAUAAUUUCACUUUGUGAUACAUAGGUCAUGAGGAAGCAAUGUCCAGAAGAUGGCUUUGAAAGCAUGCAGUGGUUUCUAAAACACCAUUCUCAAAAACACCAUUAAAUAAAAAGCAAAUUGACAAAAG